UUUUAAAUAAAACUGAGAUAGACUAUCUAUAGAGAAAUAGACCAGAUUAUUACUACAGCAUAAAAAAUAGUAUUAAUAAUAGUACAGCAUAAUGGGGAAUCGAGAUGGCGCUUCAAACUGCUGGCGAAUCUGUCUGUCGAGCGUGUACGAAGGUAUUUCUGCCAAACGAAGAUCUUUUGACUUGUACUAUGAAUAAUUCUCACAAGUAUCACCCUACUUGUGUUGGGAUGCCUACGCAUGUUUACAGAAAAAUGUCAAAAAAUAAUCGAGAGAGUUGGAAAUGUGGUGAUUGUGAAGAAGAUGAGGGUAGCAAACCUAUGGCUGACAUUCAAUCGACACAGUUACCUGUGGAGCAAGGU
rnacentral:lncRNA from 1 species